rnacentral:tRNA from 1 species
AGGCCAGAUGGGUACCCCCGUUUGACUCUUAAUCAAUUGGUUGUAGGUUCAAGUCCUACCCGGGGUACCA